rnacentral:tRNA from 1 species
GCCGAGGUAGCUCAUUGGUAGAGCGAGAGCUUGAAAAGCUCUGCGUAGGAGGUUCAAUUCCUUCCCUCGGCA